rnacentral:sRNA from 1 species
UGAGAAAAGCCACAGCAUGUUUGCAGCCUC